rnacentral:rRNA from 1 species
AUGAACGCUAGCUACAGGCUUAACACAUGCAAGUCGAGGGGCAUCAGGAAGAAAGCUUGCUUUCUUUGCUGGCGACCGGCGCACGGGUGAGUAACACGUAUCCAACCUGCCGAUGACUCGGGGAUAGCCUUUCGAAAGAAAGAUUAAUACCCGAUGGUAUAUCUGAAAGGCAUCUUUCAGCUAUUAAAGAAUUUCGGUCAUUGAUGGGGAUGCGUUCCAUUAGGUUGUUGGCGGGGUAACGGCCCACCAAGCCAUCGAUGGAUAGGGGUUCUGAGAGGAAGGUCCCCCACAUUGGAACUGAGACACGGUCCAAACUCCUACGGGAGGCAGCAGUGAGGAAUAUUGGUCAAUGGACGAGAGUCUGAACCAGCCAAGUAGCGUGAAGGAUGACUGCCCUAUGGGUUGUAAACUUCUUUUAUACGGGAAUAAAGUUAGGCACGUGUGCCUUUUUGUAUGUACCGUAUGAAUAAGGAUCGGCUAACUCCGUGCCAGCAGCCGCGGUAAUACGGAGGAUCCGAGCGUUAUCCGGAUUUAUUGGGUUUAAAGGGAGCGUAGGCGGAUGCUUAAGUCAGUUGUGAAAGUUUGCGGCUCAACCGUAAAAUUGCAGUUGAUACUGGGUGUCUUGAGUACAGUAGAGGCAGGCGGAAUUCGUGGUGUAGCGGUGAAAUGCUUAGAUAUCACGAAGAACUCCGAUUGCGAAGGCAGCUUGCUGGACUGUAACUGACGCUGAUGCUCGAAAGUGUGGGUAUCAAACAGGAUUAGAUACCCUGGUAGUCCACACAGUAAACGAUGAAUACUCGCUGUUUGCGAUAUACAGUAAGCGGCCAAGCGAAAGCGUUAAGUAUUCCACCUGGGGAGUACGCCGGCAACGGUGAAACUCAAAGGAAUUGACGGGGGCCCGCACAAGCAGUGGAGUAUGUGGUUUAAUUCGACGCAACGCGAAGAACCUUACCAGGGCUUGACAUAUACAGGAAUAAGCUAGAGAUAGUUUAGCUCUUCGGAGUCUGUAUACAGGUGGUGCAUGGUUGUCGUCAGCUCGUGUCGUGAGAUGUUGGGUUAAGUCCCGCAACGAGCGCAACCCUUACGGUUAGUUGAUACGGAAGAUCACUCUAGCCGGACUGCCGUUGACAAAACGGAGGAAGGUGGGGACGACGUCAAAUCAUCAUGCCCUUUAUGUCCUGGGCUACACACGUACUACAAUGGCUAUAACAAAGAGAAGCGAAGCCACGAGGUGGAGCAAAACUCAAAAAAGUAGUCUCAGUUCGGAUUGCAGGCUGAAAUUCGCCUGCAUGAAGCCGGAAUUGCUAGUAAUGGCAGGUCAGCAUACUGCCGUGAAUACGUUCCCGGGCCUUGUACACACCGCCCGUCACACCAUGAGAGUUGGGAAUACCCGAAGCCUGUGAGCUAACUGUAAAGAGGCGGCAGUCGAAGGUAGAAUCAAUGAUUGGGGUG